CCAGCGGGAGGGGAGGCGGCGGCAGCCCGUCGGCGUCCCAGCGGCGGUGGCGCCCUCCCCUCCGUUGGAUCCAGCGGGAGGGGAGCCGGCGGCGGCCCGGCGUACCUGCGACGGCGGCACCCUCCCCUUCGAUCUAGCUGGUUGCUAUGGAGGUUUGUACUGGUGUUUGGAUCCACAUGUCAAACAGAUUUGCCUUGUGGUGGGAACUCUUCUUCCUCCACAACGAUGAAGUGGCGCCGUUCUUUCAAAUCAUCUCCGGUGGGGUUGUUGCUACUGGUUUGAUGUUGUCGACGUUUUAAGUCAUGACUACGGUAUUUGCAUGACAUGGGGAUCGUUGGUACUAAAGUAUAUGCGAGAUUGAGGUAGAGUAUAUGCGAGAUUGAGGUAAAAGAGUCAGAGACAAGGAUUUUUAUACAGGUUCAGGCCCCUUCACAGGAAGGUAACGACCCUACUCCUGUUGGCCGAAGCUGGUAUUGCUCUUUGUUCAUCUGAAUCACACAAGUACAAUAAUUGGGAUAACCUAUCUAGCUGUCGUUGACUUGGCGGUAUGGAUCACCAACACAUAGUCGACGACAGGGCAGUCUUCCUCCUCAAGUACGAACUCAUCGAGAUCAGAGGUGGCGCUAGAUCCCCCUUAUCAGCCUCCGCAGGCACCAGAUUGGAUCUGUCUAGGCUAAUAUCUGAUGUCGAUGUUUGGCGGAAUAUUGGUUUGUUCUGGCUUAUGUGUCCCCUCUCCUCCUAGGGGGUCUUGUAUUCAUACCCAUAGAUGUCCCCUUGUCCAAGUAGAACUAGGGAGAUAAAUAUGGAUACAAUCCGAGUAGUCCUUAUCGUUUCCAACUUGAACUCUAUUUGUCCUACCUUAUCCGGAACUCCUUCUAUAUACGAGGUACGAUUCCAUAUAAGAUUUGGUAUAUGGUGGGCCCUGCUGAGCUUAGUCGAUUACUAUUGGAUAUGUGCUAUUCAUAACCCUGAUAGAAGCCUCCGACUUCAAUGCAAAUGAUCGACUUGAUGUUCUCAACCGAAGACCUUGGAAUAUCAGUUUUUGUGCUCGCUUAACCAUUCUCGGACAACCGAGGAGGUGAGGAGAAUGUGACUUAAUUCCUUAUCUUGCCGUAAUCAAGAAUUUGGAUUGAAGUCAGAAAAUUUUGUCUCAGCGGGUACAGCGUUACUUUAUUCCGUAAUCCUUGUCGAACUCCACCAACCAUUCUCGAGUAAUCGAGUAGUUAUAAAGUCCGCGACAAAGCCCUGAAGUCUGACAUUCCUGAAAUCAAAACUCAAAACAAAUUGUUAGAUACAAAUAGCCCCCGAGCGAACGCUCAAGGGUAACACGAUAUAAUAUGAAUUUGAAAAUUGAAAAUAAAUUGAAUUUGCAUGUGACAAUAAAAGAGUAUUCUAGCUAAAGCUGUACUCAAUAAUUGGAGUAUGGUACACUUCCUAGCCCUCACCUGUCUUUAUGGAAAAGUCAUUUUUCCACAAAGGCAGCUUAAAUCUUAUAACAAACCAAGUUGAAGCUAACAAAAUCCUAGCCCCUAGCCAUGAAGUUGGGAAAGCCAAUUCCCGAUUACACGGCUUAGUUAAUAUGCAUUUAGAAUAGCGUAAAGGAAUAAUAGGACGACUUCAAGAUAGGGCGAUAUAAGAAAAGGGGAUCAACGGAAAAAUAUUGCACAUACAAACACUUACAGAAUUUGACGCAAAUGGGUUGAUGAGGUCACUACCACACAAGGCGAAGACCGAGUGUGUAGUUGUAUUCAAUAAAUCAUAGAGGUAGUGGGAGAAUCGCUACGCCGCUGAUGAUCGAAGACCAGCUGUAAUCAUACCUCAACCACUAGGAGUUGAGGUGCGAGGACCGCUACGUCACUGGUCGAAAGACCAGUUGUAGUCAUCGUCUAGACUAAUAGAAGUUGAGUGAUAGGUGGCGGAAGAUUGCUAUGACCGACUAGUCGACAACCAGGAGUAGGAAUCUCUCGAUCACCUAUAGACAACUGAUAGAUGGCGAGAAAUCGCUACAACCGACUGGUCGAAAACCAGGAGUAGGCAUCUCUCAAUCACCUGAAGAGAACUGAUAGGUGGCAAGAAAUCGCUACAACCGACUGGUCGAAAACUAGGAGGAGGCAUCUCUGAAUCACCUAAAGAGAACUAAUAGGUGGAGAGAAAUCACUACAACCGACUGGUCGAAAACCAGGAGUAGGCAUCUCUCGACCACCUGAAGGCAACCGAAGUCGUCGACUAGUUUGUUGUCAGAGAAUCCAUCUCUUGAACCCAUCUCGUCAAAACCUUGGAGCACCAAAAUUCCCCUACCUGGCGCGCCACUGUCGACAUUUUAGGUCAUGAUUAUGGUAUUUGCAUGGUAUGGGGGUCGUUGGUACCAGGGUAUAUGUGAGAUUGAGGUAAAAGAGACAUAGACAAGGAUUUUUAUACAGGUUUGGGCCCCUUCACAAGAAGGUAACAACCCUACUCCUAUUGGCCGAAGCCGGUGUUGCUCUUUGUUCAUCCGAAUCAUACAAGUACAAUAAUUGGGAUAACCUAUCUAGCUGUCGUUGACUUGGCGGCAUGGAUCACCAACACAUAGUCGACGACAGGGUAGUCUUCCUCCUCAAGUACGAACUCGUCGAGAUUAGAGGUAGCGCUAGAUCCCCUUGUCGGCCUCCGCAUGCACCAAAUUGGGUCUGUCUAGGCUAAUUCUGAUGUCGAUGUUUGGCGGCGUAUUGGUUUGUUCUGGCUUGUGUGUCCCCUCUCCUCCUAGGGGGUCUUGUAUUUAUACCCAUAGAUGUCUCCUUGUCUAAGUAGAACUAGAGAGAUAAAUAUGGAUACGAUCCAAGUAGUCCUGGUCGUUUCUAACUUGAACUCUAUUUGUCCUUUCUUAUCGGAAACUCCUUCUAUAUACGAGAUGCGGUUCUAUAUAAGACUUGGUAUAUGGUGGACCCUACCGAGUUUAGUCGAUUACUAUUGGGCAUGUGUUGUCUCCGACGAGGCAUCUCCAAGGUUCGACCGAAAGUUCUCAUGUUCAUAGAGUUCGCUUCAACAUCCGAUUUUGCAAGGCCCGUAUUGCGGCUCGAUGCAAUCUUUUGCAGUCGACCUCGUUUUCGCCGUAGCCGUUGUCGGCUUCAUUGUCUAGGUCACUGAAUCAGGAGAAGAAGCGAAACGAGGCUAGAUUGCUUUUCUGUUUUCUUUUGGAGUCCUUAUCUGCAUAUUUCAAGAAUCUUUUGCAAGUUGUGUUAUACUUCUACCUGCUUGUUCUACUAAGAGCAACUGAAUCUCUCUUUGAGAGAGGCCUAAAUCACUCAAUACUAUAUAUUGAACUAAGUGAUUCCUGCGGAAAUUACUAAGCAAUUCUCAUUUCUAUUUUCUUGUAUAUACAUAUAUUUCUAUUAGUAUAUGUAUAUAAAAUUGAUUGAAUGAUGGUUGGGAAUAGUAAAUAUGAUAUGAUAUCUUGGUUGUA